GGUGAACGCUGGCGGCGUGCCUAACACAUGCAAGUCGAGCGGCAGCACGGGGAGCGUUCGCUCUUGCGGGUGGCGGCGGGCGGACGGGUGAGGCGUGGAUCGGCAUCUACUAUUUCGGGGGGGAUUACGGAAGGCAACUUACACUACUACCGAAUACGUCCUACCGGUGGAAUCAAGAGAUCUUGGCGCCUUUCCCGUCUGAUUGAGCCGAUGUCGGAUUAGCUAGUUGGCGGGGUAAAGGCCCACCAAGGCGACGAUCCGUAGCUGGUCUGAGAGGAUGAUCAGCCACACUGGAACUGAGACACGGUCCAGACUCCUACGGGAGGCAGCAGUGGGGAAUAUUGCACAAUGGGCGAAAGCCUGAUCCAGCCAUACCGCGUGAGUGAAGAAGGCCUUCGGGUUGUAAAACCCUGUUGUUAGGAAAGAAAAGAAGUGGGUUUAUACCUCGAUGUUCUGACGGUACCUAAUGAAUAAGCACCGGCUAACUUCGUG
rnacentral:rRNA from 1 species